AACCGGCUUGUGUAGGGCACCAAAACUCAGGCUCUGCGAAAGACUCCCAUAACAAGCCAGGACCAUCAAACUCCUCUCUCUCUGGCUUGUCAUGCUCGGCUUCCAGUGCAGGUACUGUGCCCCAUACCACCAGGGCGCCUCGUAGGCAUCUUCCAGCCAAAUCUCCUGCCAUACUCGGAGCUCCAAUUCCUUCACCCAUUCAUCCAGGGGCUGCUCUCCCAGAAAGGGCAACCGCAGGGCUACUCGCUUCUGCAGUCGCUGGUCUUCCUUGGGGAGACUCUCGCCCUGCUGGUACUCCACCAUACCCAGUGCCUGGUACCAGAUGCCUUUGCGCAGUGCAUCUCGGUCAUCCAUGACACCCUCAUCAUACUCCACUGCUGGUUCCAUCCUGGUGCUGUCAGGGUCGCUGUACUGGGACAUGCGUUGCCCUCAAAUUGUAAAAUCCACGGAAUGGUGUCACCAGUAGCUGUCCUUUUGUCUGUGGGAACGAUCCCGCCGCUUGCCACCAAUUGUAACGGACCGUUUUGCAUACAAGAUGCAGGCACAGCUACUGUAGAACACCAAACUCCCAAACCGCCAAUAAGGGAAUGCUCCAAACUCCCGAACGGCAUACAAUAUAGC